UACGUAGGGGGCUAGCGUUGUCCGGAAUCAUUGGGCGUAAAGAGCGUGUAGGCGGUCCGGUAAGUCCGCUGUGAAAGUCCGGGGCUCAACCCCGGGAGGCGGGUGGAUACUGUCAGACUAGAGUGCGGAAGAGGCGAGUGGAAUUCCCGGUGUAGCGGUGAAAUGCGCAGAUAUCGGGAGGAACACCAAUUGCGAAGGCAGCUCGCUGGGACGUGACUGACGCUGAGACGCGAAAGCGUGGGGAGCAAACAGG
rnacentral:rRNA from 1 species